GACGAACGCUGGCGGCGCGCCUAACACAUGCCAAGUCGAGCGAGAACCAGGGCUUCGGCCCUGGGGACAGCGGCGAACGGGUGAGUAACACGUGGAUAACCUGCCCUCGGCACCGGAAUAGCCCGGGGAAACCCGGAUUAAUGCCGGAUAGCCCCUUCCUCCUGCGGGAGGUCGGGAAAAGGUAGCUUCGGCCUCUGGCCGAGGAUGGGUCCGCGGCGGAUUAGCUUGUUGGCGGGGUAACGGCCCACCAAGGCGACGAUCCGUAGCUGGUCUGAGAGGACGAUCAGCCACACUGGGACUGAGACACGGCCCAGACUCCUACGGGAGGCAGCAGUGGGGAAUCUUGCGCAAUGGGCGAAAGCCUUACGCAGCGACGCCGCGUGCGGGAAGAAGGCCUUCGGGUUGUAAACCGCUUUCAGGAGGGACGAAGCCACUCGGGUUAACAGCCCAGAGGGUGACGGUACCUCCAGAAGAAGCCCCGGCUAACUACGUGC
rnacentral:rRNA from 1 species